CAAAGUGCUGGGAUUACAGGCAUGAGCCACCACGCCCAGCCUGGCUGCCAGAGUUCUAGUUAAACAUCUGCAUUUGCCUGUUGGGCAUUUCUACCUCAGUUUACUGCUGUCUACUUAAACUCAACAUGCCCCAGAGCAGGCUCAUCAUGAGUACUGCACACAGUGACGGUCACAGAGCCCUGAAGAAGGAAGGCUAUAGUGGGCAUGUGGUUUACAGAAGCCUCCAUACAUGGCCUACGGCUGGAGAUGGUGGCUGGGAAGCCUCAGAGGAGUGGCUGGGAUUACCGGAAGUGGGCAGUUUGUAGAUCCUUGUGGGGGUAGCAGAGAGGUGGCCUUACCAGAGCAGAGGUUCCUUUUGUGGGUAUGUUCACUGGGGUUGGGUGUGGGGGUAGAGUAGUAAGCAAUUUGGCAUCAAAUUGUGGAGGGCAUGAACACCAGCCCCAAGAAUUUGGGCUUUACCUCAUGAGUGAUGGGGUGACAUUGUAAGAGCAGAAGGGCAUAAUCCCAGCAUUUUGGGAGGCCGAGACUGGCGGAUCACUUGAGGUCAGGAGUUUGUGACCAGCCUGGCCAACAUGGUGAAACCCCAUCUCUACUAAAAAUACAAAAAUUAGCCAGGCAUGGUGACGGGUGCCUGUAAUCCCAGCUCCUCAGAGGCUGAGGCACGAGAAUCGGUUGAACUCGGGAGGCAGAGGUUGCAGUGAGCUGAGAUUGCGCAACUGCACUCCAGCCUGGGCAAUAAGAGCUAAACUUGGUCUCAAAAAAAAAAAAAAGAGGCAUUGUGAGUUUUCUCCCUGUUUGGACUGUAAGAUCCCGGUGGGUGGGGGAGAGACUGUCACACUCUGCACCUUGCAUUCCCUCAGUGUUGAGUACAGAGGCUCCUAACAAAAGUCCAUUGACAAAAGGGCAAUUUCCUUGACAUAAAUAAGGGAGGAGAAGGGGGCUUGCAUUUACUGGAGAAGAGAGGAAGAUUUUGGAUUUAGACAGGUUGUCAGAUGUGCCAGGAGCCAUAUGGGCUCCACUCCAUGUCUGGCCGCCCCCGGGUCUAUCCUGUCUUCAGGCUCCCUGGCAUCUACCAUUUCUUUACAGAGCAGCUGCCAUUAACCACAUUUACUGGGGUUCCUCUCCUUCAAGAUGGGCUGUAGAGCAGAAACCAGCUUUAUUGCUGUGUUCUCUCCCUCCAAAAACAACCUAUCAAACCAAAGAAACAAAACCAGCAUAUAGGCCUUUUCUUGCUUUAUGGGUUAUAUUGCUCUGGAGUGGGCUGUCAAGAAUAAUAAUAUAUAAUAAUGCCUUUCAAUGUAAGGACAUUCCAAAACUUUCUGAGUCUUAGAACGUUCAAAUAGUCAUUGCUUCUGGUCUACAUACAGUUCUUGUCUUCCUUUUGUAGGUGAUAACCAAAAGAUCGUUGUAGGCUGGGUGUAGUGGCUCACAUCUGUAAUCCCAGCACUUUGACAGGCAGAGGCAGGCAGAUCACCUGAGAUCAGGAGUUUGAGACCGGCCUGACCAACAUGGCAAAACCUUGUCUUUACUAAAAAUACAAAAAUUAGCUGGGUGUGGUGGUGCACUCCUGUAGUCCCACCUACUUGGGAGCCUGAGGCAGGAGAAUCACUUGAACCCGGGAGGCAGAGGUUGCAAUGAUCACGCCACUGCACUCCAGUCUGGGCGACAGGCAAGACUCUGUCUCAAAAAUAAAAGGUCAUUGUAAUUCCCCUUUCUUCCCUCAAUCUCUGCCCAUUGCAGAUCGUACAAUCCCUCUCUCUGGCAUAUGCUCUGUGUGUGUGUGUGUGUGUGUGUGUGUGUGUGUGUGUGUGUGUUGCGGGGAUGGGGACAGGGUAUGUCUUUCUUUUU